GUGAAGCUGUGAAGUGAUAACAAUAAUAUCAUUUCAGCUUUCACAGAGUUUUUUCAUUUUAUCACUUCACAGGCACUCGCCUAAAGCGAUUCUCAAACUCACUGUGAUAAAAGUCUGUUCUAAAAAGUACUAAAUGAAAAAUUCUGUCAUUUUUAUAUUUCAUUUUUGAGUUUUUCAAUUGAUUUUUUUUUUUUGUGAAAUUAAUUUUUAAUAAAAGUAAGGAAUAAAUCAAAGAAAUUGAAACGUAAAGUAUGAAAACCAGAAUUUAGACGCAUUUGGGGAAGAAUUGUUAGAUAUCGUGGGCACAAUGCCAAAACCACAAAUCUGAAAUAAAAAAAAAAAUAGUUCUGAGAAAAAUGGAUUCAAAGUUUUGGAACUAAUGCAAACUCAUGGAAACUCGUGUAACGGACUCCUAGACUCUUAUAGGCAACAAUUAAAGGAUUGGGGUCCACGAAAUGAAUAGAGGGACCGAUAACAAGUUCAAUAACGCAUUAAAGUGGAAAUGUUCAAAAAUGCAGAUUCGCGGUUUUGUUUCGGUGAUGAUUUAAUCCAAAAUCAGAAACUUACUUGGUAGUUGCUUUUCUGCAUUUGCUGCUACUGCAGCAGCUUUAAUCUUGCCUGUUAUCAUUUGAAGAUCUAUGGUUAUGGUUACAAAUAUUUGUAAGGUUAAAUAAAAAUGGCAUUGACAAAAAA